rnacentral:rRNA from 1 species
GACGAACGCUGGCGGCGUGCUUAACACAUGCAAGUCGAGCGGUAAGGCCCUUUCGGGGGUACACGAGCGGCGAACGGGUGAGUAACACGUGGGUGACCUGCCCUCAGCUCUGGGAUAAGCCUGGGAAACCGGGUCUAAUACUGGAUAUGACUCCAUGACGCAUGUUGUGGGGUGGAAAGCCUUGUGCGGCUGAGGAUGGGCCCGCGGCCUAUCAGCUUGUUGGUGGGGUGAUGGCCUACCAAGGCGACGACGGGUAGCCGGCCCGAGAGGGCGACCGGCCACACUGGGACUGAGACACGGCCCAGACUCCUACGGGAGGCAGCAGUGGGGAAUCUUGCGCAAUGGGCGAAAGCCUGACGCAGCGACGCCGCGUGAGGGAUGACGGCCUCGGU